rnacentral:rRNA from 1 species
UAAGAGGUCCAGCCUGCCCAGUGACUAAUGUUCAACGGCCGCGGUAUCCUAACCGUGCGAAGGUAGCGUAAUCACUUGUUCUUUAAAUGAGGACUAGUAUGAACGGCACCACGAGGGUUAUACUGUCUCCUUUCUCUGAUCAGUGAAACUAAUCCCUCCGUGAAGAAGCGGGGAUACAACUAUAAGACGAGAAGACCCUAUGGAGCUUUAAAUCUCUUUUCAAACGCCAAAAUCUUAUUUAAGUCUCAGACUUACCCUUACAUAUACCCAAGCGCCAUGAAAAUGAUUUUAGGUUGGGGUGACCACGGAGCACAAAAAAACCUCCAUGCUGGACUAGGCGUCCAAACCUUGAGCUAAGAGCUACAACUCAACGCACUAAAAAAUUAACACCAAUUGACCCA